rnacentral:rRNA from 1 species
UGGCGGACGGGUGAGUAACACGUGACCAACCAACCUCGAAGUUGGGAAUAGCUCUGCGAAAGCAGGGGUAAUACCGAAUGUGGCCCGGAGCGGACAUCCGCACCGGUCUAAAGAUUUAUCGCUUCGAGACGGGGUCGCGGCCUAUUAGCUUGUUGGUGGGGUAACGGCCUACCAAGGCGAUGAUGGGUAGCUGGUCUGAGAGGACGACCAGCCACACUGGGACUGAGACACGGCCCAGACUCCUACGGGAGGCAGCAGUGAGGAAUCUUCCGCAAUGGGCGAAAGCCUGACGGAGCAACGCCGCGUGUGGGAUGAAGACUUUAGGGUUGUAAACCACUGUCGGAGGGGACGAUCGUGACGGUACCCUCCAAGAAAGCCCCGGCUAACUACGUG